AACGCUGGCGGCAUGCCUUACACAUGCAAGUCGAACGGCAGCACGGGAGCAAUCCUGGUGGCGAGUGGCGAACGGGUGAGUAAUAUAUCGGAACGUGCCCAGUCGUGGGGGAUAACGUAGCGAAAGCUACGCUAAUACCGCAUACGAUCUAUGGAUGAAAGCGGGGGAUCGCAAGACCUCGCGCGAUUGGAGCGGCCGAUAUCAGAUUAGGUAGUUGGUGAGGUAAAGGCUCACCAAGCCGACGAUCCUUAGCUGGUCUGAGAGGAUGAUCAGCCACACUGGGACUGAGACACGGCCCAGACUCCUACGGGAGGCAGCAGUGGGGAAUAUUGGACAAUGGGCGCAAGCCUGAUCCAGCAAUGCCGCGUGAGUGAAGAAGGCCUUCGGGUUGUAAAGCUCUUUUGUCAGGGAAGAAACGGUGGACUCUAAUACAGAUCGCUAAUGACGGUACCUGAAGAAUAAGCACCGGCUAACUACGUG
rnacentral:rRNA from 1 species